rnacentral:lncRNA from 1 species
UAGAUGCCUGAGGGUAAUUGGGAAGUGACCUCACACCUUCUAAACAAGGGUGAGUCCUCACUCGCCUUCCACCCACCACUCUCCCUUUUUUUUGUAUAUACAUCAUCUGGAAAAACAUAACAAAAGCUACUCGCAGUUUCUGAAGAAUCACGCCGAACUGCAGUAACCAUCCAAUGUCAAAUUUGUAUUCAGUGUCAAUAUAUUUUUCUUUUAUUUGUUAUAAUAAAUCUCUAUUAUAC